UACGAAGGGGGCUAGCGUUGCUCGGAAUCACUGGGCGUAAAGGGCGCGUAGGUGGCCAUUUAAGUCGGGGGUGAAAGCCUGUGGCUCAACCACAGAAUUGCCUUCGAUACUGGAUGGCUUGAGACCGGAAGAGGUAAGUGGAACUGCGAGUGUAGAGGUGAAAUUCGUAGAUAUUCGCAAGAACACCAGUGGCGAAGGCGGCUUACUGGUCCGGAUCUGACGCUGAGGCGCGAAAGCGUGGGGAGCAAACAGG
rnacentral:rRNA from 1 species